rnacentral:rRNA from 1 species
CCCCUAGAUGUUCUGGGCCGCACGCGCGCUACACUGAACAGUUCAACAAGUCUUAACCUUGGCCGAUAGGUCUGGGUAAUCUUUGAACGCUGUUCGUGAUUGGGAUAGACCUUUGCAAUUAUGGGUCUUCAACGAGGAAUUCCUAGUAAACGCAAGUCAUCAGCUUGCAUUGAUUACGUCCCUGCCCUUUGUACACACCGCCCGUCGCACCUACCGAUUAAAUGGUCCGGUGAAAUCUCGGGACGGCGGCUUGGUCGCUUGCGUCCGACUGCUGAAACUUGAUUAAACCAUAUCAUUUAGAGGAAGGUGAANUCGUANCA